rnacentral:rRNA from 1 species
UACGUAGGGACCAAGCGUUGUCCGGAAUCAUUGGGCGUAAAGCGCGCGUAGGCGGCCCGGUAAGUCCGUUGUGAAAGUCGAAGGCUCAACCUUGGAAAGCCGAUGGAUACUGCCGGGCUAGAGUACGGAAGAGGCGAGUAGAAUUCCUGGUGUAGCGGUGGAAUGCGCAGAUAUCAGGAGGAAUACCCAUAGCGAAGGCAGCUCGCUGGGACGUUACUGACGCUGAGGCGCGAAAGCGUGGGGAGCGAACAGG